UAAAGACAAGACUGAAUUCUUUGUAUCAAUAUAUAGCAACGAUAUCUGCGUUAGCUGGGAGAGAGCCAAAGUCGGAAGAGUACAUAGGAAGCGAUUGCGACCUCUUAAUCUUUAGAAACGAAAGUGGAUCCCAAGAAGACGCCAAAACCCUCUCGGCUGAUGAUUGCUGAGAAAGGUGGGGAACCGCUUUUUAACAUCAAUCCAGACAGGAAUCAUGUCGAUAUCAGCAGUGAAUUGGGAUUCGAACCCAGGCGAUGGCCUAAAAGGGAGCACCCAGCUUAAAUAAUCAAAAUUGGUUUACAGCACUCGACCAAGCCUAUGUCACUUUGAAAUUACAAAAUAUGCAAUGCAUUCAUAACUCCUCCAAUUUAUGUUUUUUUUUUCGGAAUAUUUUAAACUUUGUACUCGCAUAGUCAAUGUUAUUCUACAUUACUUCGCAAGAUAGGAAAAGAACAAACUUCGUCACUUUGGAAGUACAUAAAAUGCUGUUCUUUAACUUUUAAUUUAUAUUGCUUGUUAUGUAACUCUGAUUCCCAACACUUGUAAAAAGGAACCACAAAA